UUUUUUUUUUGGCAAAGUUUGGGGUUCGUAGAUGCAUACCAUGACAUUGAGAAUGGAUCAGCCAUGAGAUCCUACGGUACAGCACAGGGAACUCUAUCCACUCUCUUGGGAAUAAACCAUGAUGGAAGAUAAGAUGAGAAAAAGAAUGUAUAUCUAGGUAUGACUGGGUUACUGUGCUGUAGAGCAGAAAGGGAUAGAACACUGUAAAUCAGCUAUCCUUAAAUAAAAAAUGAAAAUUCAAUUAAAAACAGCAAAAAGAAAAAUUUGAAGUGAAAACUAAAUUUGAAAAGAACAGCUAGGACAGAGAAACUUAGGCUCUGGGUGUUUAACCAGUGAAGAAUCUAAACUUAGGCUCUGGGUGUUUAACCAGUGAAGAAUCUAGGGCUUGGGGUGUUCAAUUAAAUAGAAAAAAAAAAAACCCCAUAAGGUUUGUUUAUACAGCCUUCUAACCCCAAAUUCCCCGUCUCUGGAGAUAAGGCUGCUCUUCUAUAUCCAGAGGCAAGAAGGUCACCUUUCAUAGGGCAGGUGUAUUACCUGCUUCACGGAGACAGAGAGGAGGGUUAGCGUGUCCCUUUUGCGCUGGCCAUUUUCAUCAUAAUUCAAAAUAAUCACUAUGCCACUGAGGCAUAGUUGGGGUGAUCGGCCCUGAGCCCCAACAAGAUCUUGCCUUGGCACAAUUCCUGGAGUUUGAUAUUUCAGCUGUCUCUGAGGGCCCUCUAAAAAUGCAAAUAAAAACAAUGAGUGAAAGCCCUAUGGCAAUGUCCUAUCUUUUCCAACGUUUUUAUUCUACCCACUAUAACUGACAUACUGCCAUCAUAUUCAUGAACAUAGCAUACUCCUGUCCAUAUUUACAGAUGUACAUGAUGUAAUGAGCAAAGCACAUUUCAGGGUAAAUGAACCCACUGGGUCUCCUCCAUAAAGAUGGCAUCUGCCUCAAUGUUCAUGUUCGCACAAGUUUUGAUGACUGCAAAACAUGCGACAUUGCGUCUCAAAGGUGCUAGAAACUAUGUACCUUGAACAAGUGCAAAUUGGGUUGGGAUUUAGGAGAUAUACAAGGAUGACACAGACCCAGUUUGAUUCUUAAAACACUACAGCUUUAAAAAAUGUAUUUCUUGGUACAACCACUAUGGAAAACUGUAUGGAGGUUAUCUCAGAAAACUAGAUGCAGAACUACCAUACAACCCAGCCAUCCCACUCUUGGGCAUAUAUCCACACGGAACUUUCAUUCAAAAAGAUACACGUACCUCUAUGUUCAUUAUAGUGCUGUUUAUAAUAGCCAAGCCAUGGAAACAACCUAAAUGUUCAUUGCCAGAGGAAUAGAUUAAGACGAUGUGGUCCAUACAAAUGAUGGAAUACUACUCAGCCAUAAAAAAGAGCAAAAUCAUGUCACUUGCAGCAACAUGGAUGCAACCAGAGAUUCUCAUACAAGGUGAAGUAAGUCAGAAAGAGAAAGACAAAUACCCUAUGAUAUCAUUCUAUGUGGAAUCUAAAAUAUGGCACACAUGAACCUAUCUGUAGAACAGAAACAGACCCACAGACCAUGGAGAAAAGACAUGUGGUUGCCAAGGGGGAGCAGGAGGGAGUGGGAUGGAUGGGGUGUGUGGGGUUAGUCAUGCAAACAAUGACAUUUUAAAUGGCUAAGCAAUGAGGUCCUGCUAUACAGCACAGGGAACUCUAUCCAGUCUCUUGGGAUAGACCAUGAUGGAGGACAGCAGGAGAAAAAGAAUGACUAUAUAGAUAUGACUGGAUCAUGGUGCCAUACAGCAGAAAUGGACAGAACUGUGUAAAUCAACAGUAACAAAAAAAAUUUAAUUCUUGUUGCCUUUUAACAGGUAGAAGUGCUUCAGGUGAAGCCUCCCAUGAUUUCUGUACUCUACAAACACUCAAGUCACAAACACCAUUUUAUUAAAAUAAGCUACAAACUCAGUGGUUACUGGUUUCAUGAAAUAUACUUAGGAGGGUCCUAAGUUUGGAGAAAUGGAAAGGAUUUAGGAACUUUCUCCUUUGGAAGACCAAAACGUGAUAACACAUAUGUUCAUUUCACAUUGCUGAGAGCCCCAAAUCUCUCUUUUUACAACUCAAACCUGUGUGCAUGCGUGUCCAUGGACUUCUUUUAUUGAAAGGGAUUAUUUUGGUGGUGGAGGGUCUUCUCUGUUUUAGGACAGUCAACAUGACCUCUGAGACAAAACUAUAAAUUUUUGGUUGAAAUGUGUCCUAUAUUUUAGACAAAUCAAUUAAUUUUUUGGCUCCCACAUCCAUGUGUGUUGGAAGUCUGAAAGUACACAACCACUGAGUUUCCCCAUGAUGAAGAAAAUUGAAGAUGUUUAUUUCAAACACACAGAAGUAUGGUUUCUGGGUUUUUUUUGUUGUUGUUGUUGUUGUUAUUCUGGCUGCACCUGCAGCAUGUGGAAGUUCUCAGACCAGGGUUCAAAUCCGAACCACCGCAGUGACAAUGCCAGAUAUUUAAUCUGUUGAGCCACUAGGGAGCUCUGAGGUCUUUGUUUUUAGACAAUUAACCAUGUGUUGGUUUAAGCAAAGUCUCUGGAUCACGUUCUGCUUCCGAGCAAGGGUUUGGCUAGAUAAAGCCUGCAGUUUAUAUCAAGAUGGACAUACAGAGUCCGAACAUCCAGGAACACUGAAGCCAGUGAGAAAAUCACUCCCCCUUCCACAUAAACCAAGUCUAGGAGGACCUCAACUGGGAUCUCAGCUCUCCAUGUUUCUCCCCCCUUCCCAGGCUCUCUGCUCCCUUCCCCUGCCUCCAAGUGAAAUAUGACUACAAGAAGCUGCCUCUCCUGCAUGCCAU
rnacentral:lncRNA from 1 species